AUUGAACGCUGGCGGCAGGCCUAACACAUGCAAGUCGAGCGGUAGAGAGAAGCUUGCUUCUCUUGAGAGCGGCGGACGGGUGUGUAAUGCCUAGGAAUCUGCCUGGUAGUGGGGGAUAACGUUCGGAAACGGACGCUAAUACCGCAUACGUCCUACGGGAGAAAGCAGGGGACCUUCGGGCCUUGCGCUAUCAGAUGAGCCUAGGUCGGAUUAGCUAGUUGGUGGGGUAAUGGCUCACCAAGGCGACGAUCCGUAACUGGUCUGAGAGGAUGAUCAGUCACACUGGAACUGAGACACGGUCCAGGCUCCUACGGGAGGCAGCAGUGGGGAAUAUUGGACAGUAGGCGAAAGCCUGAUCCAGCCAUGCCGCGUGUGUGAAGAAGGUCUUCGGAUUGUAAAGCACUUUAAGUUGGGAGGAAAGGCAGUAAAUUAAUACUUUGCUGUUUUGACGGUACCGACAGAAUAAGCACCGGCUAACUCUGUG
rnacentral:rRNA from 1 species